rnacentral:tRNA from 1 species
GAGGGUGUAGCUCAAGUGGUAGAGCACGUGCUUAGCAUGCACGAGGUCCUGGGUUCAAUCCCCAGUACCUCA